UAAAUACCCACGCCUAUUUAAGUUUUCACCACUACCUGAGGAGUUUUACAUUUAUUGGCUGAGCUGGCUAAUUUAUUUCUUUUUCUACCCAUUUCAAUCUCUGCUGCCACGUGUUUUAAUUACUGGUGCUUUCAGUUCUAAUCUCUAUGCACCUCGAAGAAAAAAUCCCUAAAAACUUGUUAAUUAAUCUCUCCUCCAUUCACUCAUAAAAAAUGGCGAGCACGGCUUCUUAAGAUCCAAGAUUCAACAAAAAUCUACAAGAAAAAAAAGAAGAAAACGCAUCUGAUGAAGACACUGAAGCUCAGAUCGCGUAGAUUUUCAAGUUUGAAGAAGUCGACUUCUCCACCGGAGAAGAAGAAGAAUGACGCUAUUCUCGAUCUGUAUGAAUCUUCCUUCUUAGUUUGAUAAUUUUUACUUUUAAGAAAGAAAUUAGGUUUUUUGAUUGAAUUUAAAUUUGAAAGGAAAUCGAAGCUGCACCAAUUUGAUAAGUAAGGAAUCAAUGGAAGAAAAGAGGAGCAACAAGUAUGAAGCUAUUGAAUCAAAGAUUCUUAAGAUCUGUGCUAAUUAUUUAGAUCAUGACCCAAUGGAAUACCAUUCAUGUUGAACAAAUUACUGCAUCAUCGGUGGCUCACCCAUGCUUUUUAUGCCAUUAAUUUAUACAACCAUACUAUUGUUGAGUAGUUGAGAUUGUGAUUUAUAUUUUUUGAGCAGUAAAAUUGUUGAUUUGUUUGCCCCUAAGUUUAUGAAUUCUUGGAUGUUUAAUGCAGUGGGAAAACUACACAUGUACUGUUUUUUAGAUGUAUAAGAAAUAUUUUUGAGAUAUACUAUAUGACUUGUUUUUGAGAUA